rnacentral:misc_RNA from 1 species
GUGUAAAUCAUCAGACCUUAAUUCUUUCACGAACUAAGAUUCUACUAAUCCAAAGUUGUGCCGCAACCUAAUUCAAAGGCUACAUAAACAUGGAACCAACCCAAUCAACCCUAAAUAAGUGAAUAAUCAAGAUUUUACCGCUUAAAUCGAGUGGGUCUUUGCUGGUUCGAGCACGAAAGGCUUUUCCGCUACAAGUCUAACGUGUUUGGAGAAUGCGCCAGCUCUAAGUGUAGUCGCCGGAGGAUGAGAUUUGCGAGAGAGAGAGGCUGCUGAAGGGAAGUUUCACACACGUCAGCGAGAUGGCGGAAGAGGCAAUCGUGCCCCCGCGUAGUUCCCCAGAGUAGGUUGCACUGCCGUGUCGUGGGUCCUAGAAGAAGAGCUGCGCCGCAGAGCUGCUACCACCGGAGGGAUGAGCGGCACGCCGGUGUCGGAGAGGAUCAAUGCGAGUA